ensembl:snRNA U6 U6 spliceosomal RNA
GUGCUCGCUUUGGCAGCACAUAUACUAAAAUUGGAACGGUACAGAGGAGAUUAGCAUGGCCCAUGCAGAAGGAUGACACACAAAUUCAUGAAGCGUUCCAUAUUUUU